rnacentral:rRNA from 1 species
UACGUAGGGUGCGAGCGUUAAUCGGAAUUACUGGGCGUAAAGAGCUCGUAGGCGGUGUGUCGCGUCGGCCGUGAAAACCUGCAGCUUAACUGUGGGCUUGCGGUCGAUACGGGGCAGGCUAGAAUUCGGUAGGGGAGACUGGAAUUCCUGGUGUAGCGGUGAAAUGCGCAGAUAAUCAGGAGGAACACCGGUGGCGAAGGCGGGUCUCUGGGCCGAUGACUGACGCUGAGGAGCGAAAGCGUGGGGAGCGAACAGG